ensembl:lncRNA
GUGCCACGGUCGUCAGGGGGCAGCAUGGUCGCCACCGCUUAAAGGCGCCGCGCCGGCCCUCGUAGGUGCUGGGGGCUUGUGUCGCGGUCGGAGGGCGCAGAUAUCCCGCCGAGUGGUUUGCCUCGCUGGAAAGGGCGAGAGGAGGGAGUCGUGGUGUGGACACUUUGUCGUGCGGAGGUAACCGACCCACCGAGCUUCGGUCCUCGAAACCAUCUCCGUCCCCCUGCUGUAUUCAGCCCCCGCCCAGGCAAUUGGUUGCCCAGUGCACACAUUUUAUAGUGGGGAAACUGAGGGCCAGAGAGGCAGCAGGAUCCUUCCUAUGUGAGAGAAGAGCAGCCGCAGCGGAAGCAGCAGGAAGAGCCAGAAGCCCAAAACAGCACACUGGAGCCAGCCAACCAAUACUUGCUAGAUCCUGGGUACACAUAGUACCCACACCUGUGACCUCUGCCCAGUGCUUGGAAGUUGGGGGCAGAUGCUCUGGGGUGCAGAACUGCAGAUCAGGUCCAGUCCCAGUUUGGAGGUUCAACCUAAUGAGAAUGAAGACCCUACUUAGCAGUUCAGAGCUGCCAUACCUCCCAUUUCUCACCUCCCCACGUUUCCUCCUCCUGAACUUUUCAGCUUCAACCCUCCCUCCUGCAGAAGGGAAGGCCCAACAUCCAUGUGGAUAGAUUCCUCUAGGCUUCCAGCAGUUUCCAACCUGCAGCUUGUAUUGUAAUAAAAAAAUCUAAAAAUAAUGAAAGAAUUAUUCCUCCUAUCACAUUACUUUCCACGGGAUUCAUUUAUGCCACAGCACUUGAUGCAUCUGCACCUCAGACGUGGCGUCCACCAUUAGAGCCCCAAGUCAUUGACAUAGACAGUGACUCCCUUCUAAGUUUGCUAUGUUCAGGUCUCCCUUAGCCUCCAGUGUGAGCUCUUGCCCAUUUCCCCAGGAUCAGGCAGCAAGCAUCACAGGCAUCCAGCAUAGGGGCCAGUUUCCACCAGCCCAUCUACUCUUAGUGUUCCCUACCCUAUCUCAAUUUUUAACCAUCCUUUUGGUUCAGAACUCACUCCUCAGUCCACAUGGGAAACAAUAGAAAGCCUCUGUCGCCAGUGCCCCUCUUCUUUUAGCCCUUCCUGACAUGGAUCAUAUAUUCGGCUCAUCCACUCGCCUCUGCCAUGUCUCCAUCUAAGUCUGCCAUUGACACCGAUACUAUGGAUACUUCCUCCUUCCAAGUCCAUCAUCUUCCAAUAUCCUUCUGACUCCAAGGACAAUGACAGCCCAUUUUACAGGGCUUCCUGGUUCUGGGAAUGUAUCACGAAGUGGCAGCAUGGCUUUAGCUCAGGUCCCCACUGUUUUGUGUGCACAGUCAGUGCAGGGACUGCUACCUUCAAAGCUAUACAGAAGCCACCCUCUUAGCCCAUGUUUGGGGCACUAAUGGGUAGCAACACGGCAGCUCUUUCUUUGAGAGGAAAGCAGCAACCUUAAAAAUAGCUGUUGGCCUAAGUCGUCCUGCAACCAGGUCAUCCAGUGGUAGCCCAGUGAAAACAGAACUUGCAGCCUGACAUCACCCUGGUUCACAUUGGGCAUUCCAGUCACCAACUAACAACCAGCCUCUACUAAGAACCCAGGUGUUUCGUACACUGGCACAAUCACAAUAUCUGGCUUUGGCUUUGCAGCUAAGAUGACCAGCUUUGGGAAUAGAAUUUCUUUGCUUCUCUAGGCUAUUCCUUGACUGCUGGUAUUCACGGGACCUGCAACUUCCAUAAGGACUAAGGAUUUUGUAUGUACAAGGGAAUAGAAGGGCUGCACCAUAUUCUAGGGGUAUAUGCUUCAUUUCUAAAUAAACUCAGUUUUCUGAAGUGAUUAUACUACUAGCAAUGCAAAAGAAUUCUAGCUGUACAAGUGUUCAUUAACAUUUGGUUUGGUUGGGUGUGUGUGUGUGUGUGUGUGAC